GAAAUGCGAUAAGUAGUGUGAAUUGCAGAAUUCAGUGAAUCAUCGAAUCUCUGAACGCACAUUGCGCCCUUUGGUAUUCCUUAGGGCAUGCCUGUUCGAGCGUCAUCUAAACCUUCAAGCCCUGCUUGGUGUUGGGUGCCUGUCCCGCCUCCGCGCGCGGACUCACCUCAAAUCCAUUGGCGGCCCCCGCGUCGGCCACGAGCGCAGCAGAAACGCGAACUCGUGAGCCCGUCCGGGCGGCUCCCAGAAGCUACACCCACCCAGUUUGACCUCGGAUCAGGUAGGGAUACCCGCUGAACUUAAGC
rnacentral:misc_RNA from 1 species